rnacentral:lncRNA from 1 species
UGCCUGUCCUAAGUCAGGAGCCUGUAAUUCAGUGGUUGUCGUUUGUUUAUGUGUUACAUAUUUGUUUUUCGUUCUUUUUUUACAUAAAUAAGGCCGUUAGUUUUCUCGUUUGAAUUGUUUUACAUUGUCUUAUCGGGGCCUUUUAUAGCUGACUAUGCGGUAUGGGUUUUGCUUAUUGUUGAAGGCCGUACGGUGACCUAUAGUUGUUAAUGUCUGUGUCAUUUUGGUCUUUUGUGGAUAGUUGUCUCGUUGGCAAUAAUACCACAUCUUCUUUUUUAUAUAAUGUAUGAAUAUUAUAUGUCGUGUACAUGAUUGGAUUUUGUAGAUAUAACUACCGCACAGAAAAAGUAUCAUGGAUUUCGAGGCUUUCAUAUUCAAGGUUUUGAAUUCUACCCUUGUUGAAAACCUGUGGAGACCUCUACAGUUCCUUAAAACAUCAAUUAUUUUUUUUGUAAAUUGAGUGCCGUCUCCCUGAACAUGCUAACACUUAAGUCAUAUCUUUUCAUUUUCAUAUUUUUCCCCCUGUUUGUCUCUGUUGUCUUGAUUGUUGGAACGAUUAGUGGUAUCUAACAAUAUUUAUGAAAACUUUCUGAUAAUUAUGAAUAUUUCUUCUCUGUCAGAUAUGGAUCAUUACCAAUGAUAAAAUGAAAUGC